UGGUAGGAUAGCGUAAUUAACGCGAUGAAGGAUGACCGUAAGGACAUGUUGGAGCGUUAACUAGUGAGAAUUCCGGUAUGAGUAGCGAAAGAUAGGUGAGAAUCCUAUCCACCGAAUGAGUAAGGUUUCCCCCGGAAGGCUCGUCCGCGGGGGGUUAGUCGGGACCUAAGGCGAGGCUGAAAAGCGUAGUCGAUGGACAACAGGUUGAUAUUCCUGUACCGAUAUUUAAUUGCCGAAGGAAGGACGCAGAAGGAUAACACAGGCCACUAUUGGAUGUGGUUUUAAACAGUUAGUCUUCAUAAGAGUCAAAUGCUUUUAUGUUUAAGGAUAAGCUGUGAAUGUACCAAGUUUACUUGGAAAUUGUGUGAUUUCACGCUGCUGAAAAAAGUUUCGUAGGAAGAAAAUAUUGCCCGUACCGCAAACCGACACAGGUACUCAAGUGGAGAACACUAAGGUGAGCGAGUGAACUAUUGUUAAGGAACUCUGCAAAAUGAGUCCGUAACUUCGGAAGAAGGACUGCUGGUUUUAUACCAGCCGCAGCAAAUAGGCCCAAACAACUGUUUAUCAAAAACACAGGUUUCUGC
rnacentral:rRNA from 1 species